rnacentral:rRNA from 1 species
UACGUAGGGGGCAAGCGUUGUCCGGAAUCAUUGGGCGUAAAGCGCGUGUAGGCGGCCCGAUAAGUCCGCUGUGAAAGUCCAGGGCUCAACCCUGGGAUGCCGGUGGAUACUGUCGGGCUCGAGUCCGGAAGAGGCGAGUGGAAUUCCUGGUGUAGCGGUGAAAUGACGCAGAUAUCAGGAGGAACACCGGUGGCGAAGGCGGAUCUCUGGGCCGUAACUGACGCUGAGGUGCGAAAGCGUGGGGAGCAAACAGG